GUCAUAUCAUCGAAAUGACUCCGAGAGGACUGGGUCCGAUGGACUCACCAGGCACGGUUCCAAUUAUCAUUCAAGGGACACGAGUGAAAUGCUAUGGUUCAAAUGAAAACGCUCACAUCCACACAGGGUCAGGAGCACACACUGCUGGACGCAGCUGUGUGUUUAUAAGCCUGUCUGCCCGGCUGCCCUGUGCUGGCCAUGGGCCAGAAGCCACGUCCAUUCCUCUACCAGCCCAAGGACACGGCGGGAGGCCCUACGCAGGGUGGGCAGGGAAAAGGGUCUUCGUGGUCCCGAAGGACAGAAGGAUCUUGCAUAUAGUAGGCACCUAAUGAACGUGUGUAGACACCCUGUUUGGAAUCCUGAAGCUGUCAUCCCUCCCACUUGCUUUCCUGUCCAUCGGAAUGGAUUCACAUUGACCCUCUUGCUCUGUCGCCCAGGCUGGACUGGAGUACAGUGGUGUAACCUCGGCUCACUGCAAC